AGAGCAGGUCGGGCAACCGCGAGCACAGGUGACCGCGAGGUCGUGUUCGAGGAAAGUCCGAACUCCACAGGGCAGGGUGCUGGAUAACGUCCAGCGGGGGUAACCCCAGGGACAGUGCCACAGAAAGAAACCGCCUCCGGAUUCCGGGGGUAAGGGUGCAAUGGUGGUGUAAGAGACCACCAGGGGCCGGGCGACCGGUCCGCUAGGUAAACCCCACCCGGAGCAAGACCAAGUAGGGGGAGGAUGAUGUGGCCCGCGGACUCCCCGGGUUAGGUCGCUUGAGGCCCCGGGCAACCGGGGUCCCAGAUGGAUGGUUGCCGCCCCGCCCGCCGGUGCGGCCGGUGGCGGGGGCACAGAAUUCGGCUUACAGACCUGCUCACCGC
rnacentral:RNase_P_RNA from 1 species